rnacentral:rRNA from 1 species
UACGUAGGGGGCAAGCGUUUGUCCGGAUUCAUUGGGCGUAAAGAGCUCGUAGGCGGUUUGUCGCGUCUGCUGUGAAAACUGGAGGCUCAACCUCCAGCCUGCAGUGGGUACGGGCAGACUAGAGUGCGGUAGGGGAGAUUGGAAUUCCUGGUGUAGCGGUGGAAUGCGCAGAUAUCAGGAGGAACACCGGUGGCGAAGGCGGGUCUCUGGGCCAUUACUGACGUGAGGAGCGAAAGCGUGGGGGAGCGAACAGG